GACGAACGCUGGCGGCGUGCUUAACACAUGCAAGUCGAACGGAAAGGCCCUGCUUUUGUGGGGUGCUCGAGUGGCGAACGGGUGAGUAACACGUGAGUAACCUGCCCUUGACUUUGGGAUAACUUCAGGAAACUGGGGCUAAUACCGGAUAGGAGCUCCUGCUGCAUGGUGGGGGUUGGAAAGUUUCGGCGGUUGGGGAUGGACUCGCGGCUUAUCAGCUUGUUGGUGGGGUAGUGGCUUACCAAGGCUUUGACGGGUAGCCGGCCUGCGAGGGUGACCGGCCAAAUUGGGACUGAGAUACGGCCAAGACUCCUACGGGAGGCAGCAGUGGGGAAUAUUGCAAAAUGGGCGGAAGCCUGAUGCAGCAACGCCGCGUGCGGGAUGACGGCCUUCGGGUUGUAAACCGCUUUCGCCUGUGACGAAGCGUGAGUGACGGUAAUGGGUAAAGAAGCACCGGCUAACUACGUG
rnacentral:rRNA from 1 species